rnacentral:rRNA from 1 species
GUAUCUUCGGAUAUGAGUAGAGCGGCGGACGGGUGAGUAACGCGUAGGAAUCUACCUAGUAGAAGGGGAUAGCCCGAGGAAACUCGGAUUAAUACCGUAUACCUCCUUCGGGAGAAAGAAGGCCUCUCUUUGAAGCUUUCGCUACUAGAUGAGCCUGCGUAAGAUUAGCUUGUUGGUGAGGUAAAGGCUCACCAAGGCUACGAUCUUUAGCGGGUCUGAGAGGACGAUCCGCCACAUUGGGACUGAGACACGGCCCAGACUCCUACGGGAGGCAGCAGUGGGGAAUAUUGGACAAUGGGCGAAAGCCUGAUCCAGCCAUACCGCGUGUGUGAAGAAGGCCCUAGGGUUGUAAAGCACUUUAAGUUGGGAAGAAAAGUUAUUGGUUAAUACCCAAUGACCGUGACAUUACCAUCAGAAUAAGGACCGGCUAAUUCCGUGCCAGCAGCCGCGGUAAUACGGAAGGUCCAAGCGUUAAUCGGAAUUACUGGGCGUAAAGCGCGCGUAGGUGGUUUAUUAAGUUGGGUGUGAAAUCCCCGGGCUCAACCUGGGAACUGCAUCCAAAACUGAUUCACUAGAGUACGAUAGAGGGAGGUAGAAUUCACAGUGUAGCGGUGGAAUGCGUAGAUAUUGUGAAGAAUACCAAUGGCGAAGGCAGCCUCCUGGAUCUGUACUGACACUGAGGUGCGAAAGCGUGGGUAGCGAACAGGAUUAGAUACCCUGGUAGUCCACGCCGUAAACGAUGUCAACUAUCUGUUGGAAAGCAUUGCUUUUCAGUGGAGCAGCUAACGUAAUAAG